UACGUAGGGCGCAAGCGUUGUCCGGAAUUAUUGGGCGUAAAGAGCUCGUAGGUGGCUUGUCGCGUCUGCCGUGAAAGCCCGUGGCUUAACUACGGGUCUGCGGUGGAUACGGGCAGGCUAGAGGCUGGUAGGGGCAAGCGGAAUUCCUGGUGUAGCGGUGAAAUGCGCAGAUAUCAGGAGGAACACCGGUGGCGAAGGCGGCUUGCUGGGCCUUUUCUGACGCUGAUGCACGAAAGCUAGGGGAGCAAACGGG
rnacentral:rRNA from 1 species